rnacentral:rRNA from 1 species
CAUAAGACAUGCAAGUCGAACGGAAGUCGUUACAAACGGAUUGAAGAUUUAUCAGAUUGAAGUUUUGUAACAAUGGCUUUAGUGGCGGACUGGUGAGUAACACGUAAGCAAUCUACCUAUUAGAGGGGAAUAACAAUGAGAAAUCAUUGCUAAUACCGCAUAAGCUUGUAGCAUCGCAUGAUGCAGCAAGAAAAGGAGCAAUCCGCUAACAGAUGGGCUUGCGUCUGAUUAGAUAGUUGGUGGGGUAACGGCCUACCAAGUCGACGAUCAGUAGCCGGACUGAGAGGUUCAACGGCCACAUUGGGACUGAGAUACGGCCCAGACUCCUACGGGAGGCAGCAGUCGGGAAUAUUGCGCAAUGGAGGAAACUCUGACGCAGUGACGCCGCGUAUAGGAAGAAGGUUUUCGGAUUGUAAACUAUUGUCUGCAGGGAAGAAACAAGACUGUACCUGCAAAGAAAGCUCCGGCUAACUACGUG